rnacentral:rRNA from 1 species
AACGCUGGCGGCGUGCCUAACACAUGCAAGUCGUACGAGAAAUCCCGAGCUUGCUUGGGAGAGUAAAGUGGCGCACGGGUGAGUAACGCGUGGGUAACCCACCUUCGAAUCUGGGAUAACUCCGCGAAAGCGGUGCUAAUACCGGAUAAGACCACAGCCGUUUCGGCGGCAGAGGUAAAAGCUGACCUCUCCAUGGAAGUUAGCGUUCGAGGACGGGCCCGCGUCCUAUCAGCUUGUUGGUGGGGUAAUGGCCUACCAAGGCAGCGACGGGUAGCUGGUCUGAGAGGAUGAUCAGCCACACUGGAACUGACACACGGUCCAGACUCCUACGGGAGGCAGCAGUGAGGAAUUUUGCGCAAUGGGGGAAACCCUGACGCAGCAACGCCGCGUGAGUGAUGAAGGCUUUCGGAUCGUAAACCUCUGUCAGAGGGGAAGGAAACUCCUGAARGKUAACACMCUUUGGGACUGACGGUACCCCMRGAGGAAGCAUCGGCUAACUACGUGCCAGCAGCCGCGGUAAUACGUAGGAUGCAAGCGUUGCUCGGAAUUACUGGGUGUAAAGAGCGCGUAGGUGGCCUGGCAAGUCAAGGGGUGAAAUCCCUCGGCUCAMCCGAGGAAUGGCCUUUGAAACUGCUGGGCUUGAGUACGGGAGAGGGAAGCGGAAUUCCUGGUGUAGCGGUGAAAUGCGUAGAUAUCAGGAGGAACACCGGCGGCGAAGGCGGCUUCCUGGACCGAUACUGACACUGAGGCGCGAAAGCGUGGGUAGCAAACAGGAUUAGAUACCCUGGUAGUCCACGCCCUAAACGAUGGGCACUAGGUGUGGGGACCGUUAAGGUUUCUGUGCCGUAGCAAACGCAUUAAGUGCCCCGCCUGGGAAUUACGGCCGCAAGGUUGAAACUCAAAGGAAUUGACGGGGGCCCGCACAAGCGGUGGAGCAUGUGGUUUAAUUCGACGCAACGCGAAGAACCUUACCUGGGCUUGACAUCCGGAGAAUCCCCUGGAAACAGGGGAGUGCCCUUCGGGGAAUUCCGUAACAGGUGCUGCAUGGCUGUCGUCAGCUCGUGCCGUGARGUGUUGGGUUAAGUCCCGCAACGAGCGCAACCCUUACCCCUAGUUGCCACCGGGUCAUGCCGGGCACUCUAUGGGAACUGCCAGCGUUAAGCUGGAGGAAGGUGGGGACGACGUCAAGUCAUCAUGGCCCUUAUGCCCAGGGCUACACACGUGCUACAAUGGCCGGUACAGAGGGUUGCAAACCCGCGAGGGGGAGCCAAUCCCAAAAAGCCGGCCCCAGUUGGGAUCGCAGUCUGCAACUCGACUGCGUGAACGUGGAAUCGCUAGUAAUCGCGUAUCAGCACGACGCGGUGAAUACGUUCCCGGGCCCUGUACACACCGCCCGUCACACCACGAAAGCUUGUUGUACCAGAAGUCGGCAAGCUAACCUGCAAGGGAGGCAGCCGCCUAAGGUAUGAUUAGUGAUUGGGGUGAAGUCGUAACAAGGUAACC